AUUGAACGCUGGCGGCAGGCCUAACACAUGCAAGUCGAGCGGCAGCGGGAAAGUAGCUUGCUACUUUUGCCGGCGAGCGGCGGACGGGUGAGUAAUGCCUGGGAAAUUGCCCAGUCGAGGGGGAUAACAGUUGGAAACGACUGCUAAUACCGCAUACGCCCUACGGGGGAAAGCAGGGGACCUUCGGGCCUUGCGCGAUUGGAUAUGCCCAGGUGGAAUUAGCUAGUUGGUGAGGUAAUGGCUCACCAAGGCGACGAUCCCUAGCUGGUCUGAAAGGAUGAUCAGCCACACUGGAACUGAGACACGGUCCAGACUCCUACGGGAGGCAGCAGUGGGGAAUAUUGCACAAUGGGGGAAACCCUGAUGCAGCCAUGCCGCGUGUGUGAAGAAGGCCUUCGGGUUGUAAAGCACUUUCAGCGAGGAGGAAAGGUUGAUGCCUAAUACGUAUCAACUGUGACGUUACUCGCAGAAGAAGCACCGGCUAACUCCGUGCCAGCCGCCGCAGUAA
rnacentral:rRNA from 1 species